GGACGGCAAUACUCCACUUCACAAGUUGUUAGAAGCUAACCAUUCAUACCGAGAUCACACAGAUGCAACACGUUAUUUAUUAACGAAUGGAGCAGAUGCCAAGUUAAAUAAUAGGGAUGGUCAAACUCCAGCUGACAUGUAUGUGCACAACACAUGUAGGAAGUACGAUUCUA